CCCUGUUUAAAAAAACCAUUUUUUAAUGUUAAUUUAUUUAUUAAGUUUGACCUGCUCAAUGAUUUUUUAUUAAAUAGCCGCAGUACUUUGACUGUGCAAAGGUAGCAUAAUCAUUUGUCUUUUAAUUGAAGGCUUGUAUGAAUGGUUUGAUGAAAAUUUAACUUUCUUUUUAUUAAUUUAUUGAAUUUAACUUUUUAGUGAAAAGGCUUAAAUUUUUAAAUGGGACGAGAAGACCCUAUAGAAUUUUAUUUUUAAUAAUAUUUUAAUAAUUGGAUUUUAUUUUUAUUUUAUUACUAAAAAUUUUGUUGGGGCGAUUGGAUGAUUUAUUUAACUCAUUUAUUUAAUAAAUUAUUGAUUAAUAAAUUAUUGAUCCUAUUUUUAGGAUAUUUAGAUUAAAUUACCUUAGGGAUAACAGCGUAAUUUCUUUGGAGAGUUCUUAUUGAUGAAGAAGUUUGCGACCUCGAUGUUGGAUUAAAAUAAGUUUUAAGUGCAGAAGCUUAAAUUUCUAGGUCUGUUCGACCUUUAAUAUUUUACAUGAUCUAAUUUCCACC
rnacentral:rRNA from 1 species